rnacentral:rRNA from 1 species
GAUCCUGGCUCAGGAUGAACGCUAGCGACAGGCUUAACACAUGCAAGUCGAGGGGCAGCACGGGGUAGCAAUACCCCGGUGGCGACCGGCGCACGGGUGAGUAACACGUGUGCAACCAACCCCGUACCGGGAGAUAACCCGCGGAAACGUGGACUAACACCCCAUAAGACCUUUCCCCCGCAUGGGGGGGAGGUUUAAAACCCCGGUGGUACGGGACGGGCGCGCGCGACAUUAGGUAGUUGGCGGGGUAACGGCCCACCAAGCCGACGAUGUCUA